CGGGGUGGAUGCAGGGCGCGGGGGCUUGAGUGGCCUUAGGGUUUAGGUCAUCAUGGGCCAAAAUUUUCGCGGGACGGGCCGAAAACUUUCGCGCCACUGGAUAUUUUAUUUCGCGACGGACGAUCCGAUUCAGUUGAUGACAUAUAGCGACGGACGAUCCAGUGUAAAUUUAGAAUAAUUAUAGCAACAGACCGUCCAUUGAAGUAUUGAAAUUCAACAACGGAUGCUCUGUGGGAAUCCUUUAGCAACAGACCGUUCAAUGCUAAUAUUUAUCUUUAGCAACACACGUCUGAUGCUAUUUAAGUGUUGUGGUGUAGUGAUGGGGCAUAACGAUUUAUUGGAUUAUAUAGCUCUUGAGAAAUGGUAGUAUAUUUUUAAAAAAUGUUGUAAAUAAAGUCUUUUCUGAAUAUUUUUAAAUUUUAAUUUUCUAUUUUACCUUAAUUAAUUAUGUUUUAUAUUUAAUUUCUUUCUAUAUAUAAUAUCAUAUUCUGUGAUGUUUUUUGUGAUGUUCAUAUAGUAUACAUGUGAUGUUCUACGAUAUUUUAUGUGAUAUUCACAUGUUACAACUGUGGUGUUCUAUCAUAUUUUUUUUAUGUUCACGUGGUAUAGAUGUGAUGUUCUAUGAUGUUUUUUUUGAUGUUCGUGUAGUAUACAUGUGAUGUUCACAUAGUAUAUAAGGAUGUUACAUGAUGUAUUUUGUGAUGUUCAUGUAGUAUAUAUGUGUUGUUCUAUUAUGUUUCUUGUGAUGUUCUAUAUUUUAUUGAGUGAUGUCACUUAGUACGCAUGUGAUGUUCAAUAAUAUAUUUUAGAUUGUUUGAAAAGUGCUGAUAUGAUAUUCUUUUAAAUUUUCUCUACUACGUAUUUUAUUUUAUUUUUCAUUAUGCUUUGCUCUGGAUUUCAUUGUUCUUUUAUUUAUGUUAUGUAUUUAUUUAUUUAUAUUUAUGUAUGUUAUAGUACUAAUUUUAUGAACAUAAACAGAAUAUUCUUCUUACAAAGACGGAACAUUAGUUUUUGAACCUAGAACAUUGUCUCUGCUCAACAGAAGAAAAUAUUCUACCUUUAUAAGAAAAAUGUUCACUAAAUUUUUAUCUGAAUAUAUCCAUGUGGGAUCUUGUUAUGAAGAAUUUAUUGCAAAAAACUCAAUGGUGUAGUCGAAUUAAAUUUCGAUGUUUGGUUUAGCAGUUAAGACUUUUUUUAGUUUGUUGAAAUAAUAUGCAUGAGAUGAGAGCUG
rnacentral:lncRNA from 1 species